UACGGAGGGGGCAAGCGUUGUUCGGAAUUAUUGGGCGUAAAGCGUAUGUAGGCGGCUAAGAAAGUCAGGCGUGCAAGCCCGUGGCUCAACCACGGAAUUGCGUUUGAAACUGCUUAGCUUGAGUGCAGGAGAGGAAAGCGGAAUUCCCAGUGUAGCGGUGAAAUGCAUUGAUAUUGGGAAGAACAUCUGUGGCGAAGGCGGCUUCCUGGACUAACACUGACGCUGAGGUGCGAAAGCGUGGGGAGCAAACAGG
rnacentral:rRNA from 1 species